rnacentral:rRNA from 1 species
AUUGAACGCUGGCGGCAUGCCUUACACAUGCAAGUCGAACGGCAGCGGACCUUCGGGUGCCGGCGAGUGGCGAACGGGUGAGUAAUAUAUCGGAACGUACCUUUCAGUGGGGGAUAACGUAGCGAAAGUUACGCUAAUACCGCAUAUUCUGUGAGCAGGAAAGCAGGGGAUCGCAAGACCUUGCGCUGAUUGAGCGGCCGAUAUCAGAUUAGCUAGUUGGUGAGGUAAAGGCUCACCAAGGCGACGAUCUGUAGCGGGUCUGAGAGGAUGAUCCGCCACACUGGAACUGAGACACGGUCCAGACUCCUACGGGAGGCAGCAGUGGGGAAUUUUGGACAAUGGGCGCAAGCCUGAUCCAGCCAUGCCGCGUGAGUGAAGAAGGCCUUCGGUCGUAGUAAGUCUUCGUUCGGUACCGGGAAGAACGUACGACACGUAAGUUAACCUAACCG